rnacentral:rRNA from 1 species
CAACACUUGGUGUGGUUGGUCCGUCGGUCAUGUUCUUGUUUGAUUGUUGGCCUAUGCUUAGGACGGUUCGGGGGUGUUACAGACAGGCCCGGGUACUCUUUGAAAUUUCAUCAUGAUGGGGAUAGAUCAUUGCAAUUUUUGGUCUUCAACGAGGAAUUCCUAGUAAGCGCGAGUCAUCAGCUCGCGUUUCCUACGUCCAUG